rnacentral:rRNA from 1 species
AAUUCCUACGACAGCGCGUGUAAGNCAUCAAACACUGGUNCANNUGGUUUAAAGAUCUCACACUAGGCCCGGGUCGUUUACACGCCUAAUCAUCAAUGCNAUGUCGACACGAGCAAGNCACAAGGACGANNCUAGCGUCUCUGGUGUGGCUGAAGCUGGUCGAGAUCGGGUGACUGGACAUAUCAUCGGAAUCAUACUCCUAGUCAGUGGGAGGAUAACAGUAAGGAAAUNCAUUAUCAGCAAACAUACAUCGCUAUACGAACUCUAACGGGGUGAAAGUACAGGGUGACNCAAAUUCAAGANCACAAUNAAGUCCGAAAU